AGCAGCGACGGCCAUGGUGACGGACGUAGAGUGAAAAUGGUCAUCAUUUGGUGUUCGUGCUGAUAACUAUUUAUGGUGACAGUGAUGGUGGGUUGGUGACAGCGCCCGAUACCUGAGGUGUGGCCGUGACCUUAUAGCACUAGCGGGCGCCUUACUACAAGCGUGUAGCUGCGUGCACGCUGAGGUUUGCCGCAUCACCGACUGCAGCGACAUGACAGUCGGCAGGGCAACGCUGCGCGCUACGCACCCCAAAAUGUUGGCCAGCGUCAACAGAGUGGCCGCUGUACCGUGCACGUAUGGGCGUGGAUGGAUGGCGAAGGCAGGGGUGGCAUAUAUCGGACGGGGACGACCACGGCUGCUUCCUACCGGGAUCUGCUGGAGCACAAAUUCCUGCCAGACUAUGACCAUCUGAGACCGGGAAGACCACACAUAGUUUUCCAGCAGGAUAACGCCCCGGUGCAUACCGCACGACUGGUUCGCGACUGGAUGGGGCGUCAGCCGCGCCUGGAACUGCUGCCGUGGGCUGCGAGAUCUCCUGACUUGAACCCCAUAGAAAACCUAUGGGGUAUUAUGACAGAGGAGCUCACGCCUGCGCUGAACGGAGCUCACGUCACAACGGACCGGCUGUGGGAGCUGAUACAGGAAGCCUGGGCCCGCGUGACCCCCGCCCUGUGCAGACGGCUGGCGGACUCC